rnacentral:rRNA from 1 species
GACGAACGCUGGCGGCGUGCCUAACACAUGCAAGUCGAGCGGGGUUGAAGCGAGGGGUAACUCGGACUUCUACCUAGCGGCGGACGGGUGAGUAACGCGUGGGCAACCUGCCUCAAGGUUUGGGAUAACAGCUCGAAAGGGCUGCUAAUACCGGAUAUGCCUGUGGCCUCGCAUGGGGCUAUGAGCAAAGGGGAAACCCGCCUUGAGAUGGGCCCGCGUCCCAUCAGCUAGUUGGUGAGGUGAAGGCUCACCAAGGCGACGACGGGUAGCCGGCCUGAGAGGGUGACCGGCCACACUGGGACUGAGACACGGCCCAGACUCCUACGGGGGGCAGCAGUGGGGGAUCUUGCACAAUGGGCGAAAGCCUGAUGCAGCGACGCCGCGUGAGCGAAGAAGGCCUUCGGGUUGUAAAGCUCUGUCUGGAGGGAGUGAAACAAAUAGACGGUACCUCCGGAGGAAGCCACGGCUAACUACGUGCCAGCAGCCGCGGUAAACGUCUA